ACUCUUUACAAUUGUGAAAAAAGAAGUUGAAAGUAUAGAGCAAGCAAAAGCAAAUCCUGUCCAAACCUGGUGAUAGAGUGGUGAGCCUCUGGGCUACCGAUUUUAUAGGGAAGACAAAGUUGAGUAGGAUCGGUUGUGGUAUGGGUCGAUGCAAUGGCUACAAUUCGUACUAAAGGCUAAAGCAAGAAGCAAAGCCACGCUUAGCCCAAAAUCUUCUUCUUCACCUACACUAAACACACACUAGUAAUUAUUUUGUCUUGAGUUGCGUGCUGAUACAUGUAGAAACCAGAAACCAACAACAAAAUCACAAUCCUACCCAUAGUUUCUUCUUUUAUCUGUAGAGACAUGAGAAAGAUAUGAAACCAUGAGAUGCAUGGAGGGCUCACAAAAGAGCAAUCUAUUCGCCCUAAGAAUAGGGUAACUUCCCC
rnacentral:lncRNA from 1 species